rnacentral:rRNA from 1 species
UGGGGAAUUUUGGACAAUGGGCGAAAGCCUGAUCCAGCAAUGCCGCGUGAGUGAAGAAGGCCUUCGGGUUGUAAAGCUCUUUUGUCAGGGAAGAAACGGUGAGGGCUAAUAUCCCUUGCUAAUGACGGUACCUGAAGAAUAAGCACCGGCUAACUACGUGCCAGCAGCCGCGGUAAUACGUAGGGUGCAAGCGUUAAUCGGAAUUACUGGGCGUAAAGCGUGCGCAGGCGGUUUUGUAAGUCUGAUGUGAAAUCCCCGGGCUCAACCUGGGAAUUGCAUUGGAGACUGCAAGGCUAGAAUCUGGCAGAGGGGGGUAGAAUUCCACGUGUAGCAGUGAAAUGCGUAGAUAUGUGGAGGAACACCGAUGGCGAAGGCAGCCCCCUGGGUCAAGAUUGACGCUCAUGCACGAAAGCGUGGGGAGCAAACAGG